rnacentral:rRNA from 1 species
UGGGGAAUUUUGGACAAUGGGCGAAAGCCUGAUCCAGCAAUGCCGCGUGUGUGAAGAAGGCCUUCGGGUUGUAAAGCACUUUUGUCCGGAAAGAAAUCCUCUGGGUUAAUACCUCGGGGGGAUGACGGUACCGGAAGAAUAAGCACCGGCUAACUACGUGCCAGCAGCCGCGGUAAUACGUAGGGUGCAAGCGUUAAUCGGAAUUACUGGGCGUAAAGCGUGCGCAGGCGGUGUUGUAAGACGGAUGUGAAAUCCCCGGGCUUAACCUGGGAACUGCAUUCGUGACUGCAAGGCUAGAGUAUGGCAGAGGGUGGUAGAAUUCCCCGUGUAGCAGUGAAAUGCGUAGAGAUGUGGAGGAAUACCGAUGGCGAAGGCAGCCCCCUGGGCCAAUACUGACGCUCAUGCACGAAAGCGUGGGGAGCAAACA